UUUCAUUUCCUGCUUUGGAAUUCUUUCCAGUCACAAGACCCUUGGGUGUCUCCCAGGCCUGUGGCCAAAGUUUGAACAGGAAUGACACGCACGCCUUCCCAUGUGGGCAGCGGUGUUUCUCUGCGAACAGAAUGAAUGGUGUUUCAACGUGGAGUAUGUAAGUUUUUCAAGACGGGGUCCCUCCACCAGAGUUUCCCUAACUCCUCUAGGGCCAGUCUUGGCCACAUCCUGUUCUCUGUCUCCCUUCAACACUGGGCAAACAACAUGGCUCAUUUGACCGGAGAAUUUGGAAAGAGCAACCCAGGCAGCAGUGGUCCAGCCUCCAAGUCCUAGGCUGUCUCCAGAUCAUCUCAGCUUGGAGCUGGGAAGCUGUGCCUUAGGCCAGCAUUGCCCAUCCUCCAGGGACGUGAAAAGUCUGGGCCUUUUGCUAAAAACCAGCAUUAGAGACCCCAUUCGCUGUAGUUGUGACCUCAUCUCCCAUGCACUCUUUAUACUAAAGGGGACUGGUCCUCUGCCUUCUUCAUGGGUUCACAGCUAAGGCUGUUCAGUGGCUUCCCUUUUACCCCAGCGUUGUCUUUACCAUACUUUCUUCUUUUAUUUAAAUACUUCACACUCCAUGCGAUUCAACAUCAUCAACAUUCUACAAUAAGAUAAAAAAACGUUCUCUCUCAAAAGGGAUAAAUCAACCCACAUGUGUGGACUGUAGGGAAAACAGACCAUAGCCAGCCAGCAACAAGAAAGCGCCUGAAGUUUUCUCAGUGCAAAGGUGGUAACUGCUGAACCACAUUGUCCUGAAGAGAACAGCUCCCAGUUAACCCCACUGCUCACACCGACCUACACAGCCUACAACCAGAUCAGCACCUCCCCCCUGCUGCCAGUGGAGACUGCCAGGCCGGCCGAGGUGUGGAAAGAAGCCGUUUGGAGACCCUGCUGAAGGACAGGACUUUACAAAAGAGUCAAACUGUAAAUUCAGGGCUCAGAAGGUAAAGGGCUCGCCAAGCAAGCCUCAGGAGGGAAACCUGGCCCUCAGAAGCCACAUAGAAAAGGCUGGCGUGGAGGCGCACACAUGUUCCCAGCAGUGUUGAGGAGGUGGAGACAGGUGGAUCUCCCAGAGUCCCUAACUGAAUCAGCGAGCACCAAGCCAGUGAGGACCCUACUUCAAGACACUCAAGGUAGACGUCACUGAGUAGAAACGGCACCCAAAGCCAGGCACACUCCAAUCGUGCCUGCUCUCUCCAAAGCCAGGCACACUCCAAUCGUGCCUGCUCUCUUAGCUGUGGCGUGGUUGUGGCUUUGUGCUAAAGAUCUGCUCAGUGGGCGGAGCCUUACCUCUCAUGCAGCUUGCAACCCCGGACGACUCACCUCCCUCCUCCCGCCAGCCACAGCGUUGUCAUCUUAAGCAGAUGGUGAUACUUGUGGCCACCUCAGAGUACCUUGGGGGGGGGGUGUCAGUGAGAAGCGGCAAGCUUGUGUGAGCAGUGUAGCCCCUGGAGGCUCCACAGGAAAAUCAUCACCCUGACAGAGCAUCGAUGAGUUCCCCUAUCUGCCUCCCCUUCUCGGAAGGGAAGGCAGACCUCAUGACCCUAACGUUUAAGUCUUCAUAUUCACACGUUGGUUCCUCACCAUUGUCCUGAAAGCCUGGAAAAAGCAUUAGGUGGCAUCAAGAAGCUAGCAGGAGGGUACUGUAAAGAGAAGCCUUCCUGCCAGCCUGGUUCCAGAGCCGCAUCAGUCCCAAAUAAACCCUUUCUUUUUG